rnacentral:rRNA from 1 species
CAUAGCGACUAUCGUGGCAUAUCAAUAAGCGGAGGAAAAGAAACUAACAAGGAUUCCCUUAGUAACGGCGAGUGAAGCGGGAAGAGCUCAAGUUUGAAAUCUUCAAGGUUCUACCUUGACGAAUUGUAGUUUAUAGAAGUGUUUUCUGUUAGUAGAGUGGCAAAAGUUCUUUGGAAUAGGACAUCAUAGAGGGUGAGAAUCCCGUAUUUGGUCAUUCUUUCUAGCUUUGUGAUACACUUUCAACGAGUCGGAUUGUUUGGGAAUGCAGUCCAAAAUGGGUGGUAAAUUUCAUCUAAAGCUAAAUAUUGGCGAGAGACCGAUAGCGAACAAGUACCGUGAGGGAAAGAUGAAAAGAACUUUGAAAAGAGAGUUAAACAGUACGUGAAAUUGUCAAAAGGGAAGCGUUUGACACCAGUGUUGCUUUUCCGAAAAUCAAUUACGAAUGUUUUGUUUUUAAGAAGUUAUGACUUCAUCGGCUUGCUUCUUUCUUUACGAAACUUUCUUAAUGCACUUUUCGGUUAACAAGUCAACAUCAAUUUCUUUUGUUGUAAAAGGGUAUGAGGAAGGUGGCUUUCUUUUCGGAGAAAGUGUUUAUAGCCUUGUACCUCUGCAAUCGGAGAGAUUGAGGUCUGCAGCGUAGAUCCUUCGGGGUUAGAUACAUUUGUGCUAAGUUAUAGCUUUUCAUAGACAACUUGUUGACUAUGUUGAGUCUUGUACUUACUCGCAUGAUGCUAUUUUACCUACGCUUAGGAUGUUGAUAUGCAUGACUGAUAU